GUAGGUGGUUAUAUAAGUGAAUAGUGAAAGCCUGCGGCUCAACCGUACGGACUAUUAUUCAAACUGUAUAACUCGAGAAUGGUAGAGGUAACUGGAAUUUCUUGUGUAGGAGUGAAAUCCGUAGAUAUAAGAAGGAACACCAAUGGCGUAGGCAGGUUACUGGACCAUUUCUGACACUAAGGCACGAAAGCGUGGGGAGCGAACCGGAUUAGAUACCCGGGUAGUCCACGCCGUAGACGAUGGAUACUAGCUGUUGGAGGUAUCGACCCCUUCAGUAGCGAAGCUAACGCGUUAAGUAUCCCGCCUGUGGAGUACGGUCGCAAGACUAAAACAUAAAGGAAUUGACGGGGACCCGCACAAGCGGUGGAUCGUGUUCUUUAAUUCGAUGCUAAACGAAAAACCUUACCAGGGUUUGACAUCCUUGGAAUCUUUCCGAAAGGAGAGAGUGCUUUAUUGAACCAAGUGACAGAUGAUGCAUGGCCGUCGUCAGCUCGUGUCGUGAGAUGUUUGGUUAAGUCCAUCAACGAGCGCAACCCUUAUAGUCUGUUGUAUUUUUCAGGCUAGACUGCCCCGGAAACGGGGAGGAAGGAGGGGAUGAGGUCAGGUCAGUAUUUCUCUUACAUCCUGGGCUAGAGACACGAUACAAUGGCUAGUACAAUGCGCAGCGAAGCCGCGAGGUGGAGCAAAUCGCAUCAAAGCUAGUCCCAGUUCGGAUUGGAGGCUGAAACUCGCCUCCAUGAAGUCGGAAUCGCUAGUAAUCGCAAAUCAGCAAGUUGCGGUGAAUACGUUCCCGGGUCUUGUACACACCGCCCGUCAAACCAUGAAAGUGACCAACACCCGAAGUCCGAUUCGUCGGCCUAAGGUGGGGGGCAUGAUUGGGGUU
rnacentral:rRNA from 1 species